GCAAACUUGGUCAUUUAGAGGAAGUAAAAGUCGUAACAAGGUCUCCGUUGGUGAACCAGCGGAGGGAUCAUUACAGAGUUUACAACUCCCAAACCCAUGUGAACAUACCAUUAUGUUGCUUCGGCGGAGCCGCCCCGGCGCCCGGAACGAGAGUUUCGCGGCCCGGAACCAGGCGCCCGCCGGAGGCCACAAACUCUUCUGUUUUUACAGUAUCUUCUGAACGUGCCGCAAGGCAACAAACAAAUGAAUCAAAACUUUCAACAACGGAUCUCUUGGUUCUGGCAUCGAUGAAGAACGCAGC
rnacentral:misc_RNA from 1 species